UACAGAGGUCUCAAGCGUUGUUCGGAUUCAUUGGGCGUAAAGGGUGUGUAGGUGGCGCGCUAAGUCGGGUGUGAAAUUUCGGAGCUUAACUCCGAAACUGCAUUCGAUACUGGCGUGCUUGAGGACUGGAGAGGAGACUGGAAUUCAUGGUGUAGCAGUGAAAUGCGUAGAUAUCUGGAAGAACACCAAUGGCGAAGGCAACCUCCUGGGUCUGAAUUGACACUGAGACACGAAAGCGUGGGGAGCAAACAGG
rnacentral:rRNA from 1 species